rnacentral:lncRNA from 1 species
UUGGUCGUUUAAAGUUUCUGUCAUCCUCAUAAGUGUGUGUGUGUUCCAGCUCUGUUCUGUCGGCGUAUCUCGGCUCGUCUCAUGAUGGCGAUCGGCUCUGUGAAUUCAGCAUCACACAGUACGCAUGUGCAGAGUUGACAGAUCUGAGCUCACAGGACCUGGCCACGGUGUUGUCAUGCGGUCUCAAUGGGAAUGAGAGCGUGUCCGAUGAGACGUGGAAACUCUUCACGCAGAAGGUCAACCCUGUGCUGGGUCCAGCGCUCGACCUGCUCGCCCACACGAAGCUGAACAAGUCCCGCCCCUCAGAGUCAUUCUUGAAUGUGAUUGGAGAAGUCACUCUGAGCUCCUU